rnacentral:rRNA from 1 species
UACGUAGGGUCCGAGCGUUUGUCCGGAAUUACUGGGCGUAAAGAGCUCGUAGGUGGUUUGUCGCGUUGUUCGUGAAAACUCACAGCUUAACUGUGGGCGUGCGGGCGAUACGGGCAGACUAGAGUACUGCAGGGGAGACUGGAAUUCCUGGUGUAGCGGUGAAAUGCGCAGAUAUCAGGAGGAACACCGGUGGCGAAGGCGGGUCUCUGGGCCGAUACUGACGCUGAGGAGCGAAAGCGUGGGGAGCGAACAGG